GAGGAGCCUGCGGCGGAUUAGCUAGUUGGUAGGGUAACGGCUUACCAAGGCGACGAUCCGUAACCGGCCUGAGAGGGCGGUCGGUCACACUGACACUGACAUACGGGUCAGACUCCUACGGGAGGCAGCAGUGGGGAAUUUUUGGCAAUGGGGGCAACCCUGACCAAGCAACGCCGCGUGGGUGAUGAAGUCUCUUGGGACGUAAAACCCUUUCGACGGGGACGAAACCGCAAGGUUGACGGUACCCGUAGAAGAAGCCCCGGCUAACUCCGUGCCAGCAGCCGCGGUAAUACGGGGGGGGCAAGCGUUGUUCGGAAUUACUGGGCGUAAAGGGCGCGUAGGCGGUGCUCUAAGUCGGAUGUGAAAACUCUGGGCUCAACCCAGAGCCUGCAUCCGAAACUGGAGUGCUAGAGUUCUGGAGGGGGUAGCGGAAUUCCUGGUGUAGCGGUGAAAUGCGUAGAUAUCAGGAGG
rnacentral:rRNA from 1 species